GAGCUUGAGUUAUUAUAACAAAAUGCAUGAUAUUUUACAUAUAUUGACCAUUGAAAAUACAUAACAUUCGUAGAAAGAGAUAGACAUAUUAUAAUAUACUCUUCACACAAUAUUCUUUAUUCCACACGCUAGCUAGAGCUAGCCAACAUCGCAAAUUAUCAUCACACAAACACAAACACAAACACACAUUGAUAUAUAUCGUUUAUUUCUUUUCGUAUAUCCUUUAUUUCUUGAAAAGGUGACGCUCUAUAUCCUUGGUUAAGUCAAGGAGAAGACCCAAUUGAAUGAGAGGCUCUGGAAUAUCUUCAGUUUUCUUUUCGUAUUCAAUUGUCCAUGUUGUCCACUCGUGUUCACAAGAUAGGAUACCAGUAAAGGAACUAUACGACUCUAACACAUCUCCUUCAAUCACUUUCCAAGUGAUUGAUUUCUUGUCAAGAUCGAUGGCUUCAAUUACUUGCUUAGCAGACUUCUUUUGUCCAGCUUCGUUAUAAUUGCAGCUAACGAUCGAACCAACUUUUACAGUUUCACCUGCGUGUAUCUCCAAAUGGUUGAUAAUAUUAGGACUUAUAUUAGGUAUAUGAUGGGUAUGGAUGUGAAAAAAAUCAAGAAUCGGGUGUCCUCCACACUUUACCUCCACUAAAGCAAUUAAUUUGCCUUUCACACCCAUAUUUUAUUCAAUUACAAUAAUUUUUGGAAAGAAAGUGGUGAUUUUGUAUGUGCAUUAUGAGUGCUACUUUUUGGACCAACACUCGGAGCAAAGGUAAAGUUCUCAUACACGUUCAAGCCGUGAAAAUAGUCACUAAUGCUUGCAUUAUGAUAGACUGUUUGCAUCACAUUCUCUUACUAACGCAGGAUGUUUUGUGCACCAGACUGCCCGCUAUUAUGAGUGAUACUUUUCUUAGAUAAAAUGAAAAAAGUAAUUUCUAUUUGUCUCUACUUGGGCCUUUAGUGUUUGUACCUUUUUUUU
rnacentral:misc_RNA from 1 species